rnacentral:tRNA from 2 species
GGGGAUAUGGCGGAAUGGUAGACGCAGCGGACUCAAAAUCCGUUGGUUUCACAGGACCGUGAGGGUUCGAGUCCCUCUAUCCCCA